rnacentral:rRNA from 1 species
ACGCUGGCGGUGUGCCUAAUACAUGCAAGUCNAACGGAGAGCUUCUAGUAAUUUAUUACUGGAGGAAUUCUUAGUGGCGAACGGGUGAGUAACGCGUUGGUGACCUACCCCAAAGAGCGGGAUAACAGCUUGAAAGGGCUGCUAAUACCGCAUGUGGUCUUCCAGGUUAGAUACUGGUUGACGAAAGGGAGCAAUCCGCUUUGGGAGGGGCCUGCGUCCCAUCAGCUAGUUGGUAGGGUAAAAGCCUACCAAGGCGAAGACGGGUAGGGGACCUGAGAGGGUGACCCCCCACAAUGGAACUGAAACACGGUCCAUACACCUACGGGUGGCAGCAGUAGGGAAUAUUGCCCAAUGGACGAAAGUCUGAGGCAGCAACACCGCGUGUGUGAAGAAGGCCUUCGGGUCGUAAAGCACUUUUCUGAGGGAAGAGAAAGGACGGUACCUCAGGAAUAAGGAUCGGCUAACUACGUGCCAGCAGCCGCGGUAAAACGUAGGAUCCGAGCGUUAUCCGAAUUUACUGGGCGUAAAGCGCGUGUAGGCGGCUCGAUAAGUUGGAUGUGAAAGCUCCUGGCUCAACUGGGAGAGGACGUUCAAUACUGUCAGGCUAGAGGGCGGCAGAGGGAGGUGGAAUUCCCGGUGUAGUGGUGAAAUGCGUAGAUAUCGGGAGGAACACCAGAGGCGAAGGCGGCCUCCUGGGCCGCGCCUGACGCUGAGACGCGAAAGCUAGGGUAGCAAACGGGAUUAGAAACCCCGGUAGUCCUAGCCGUAAACGAUGUAGACUUGGUGUCGGUGGUGUAAAAACCAUCGGUGCCGCAGCUAACGCGGUAAGUCUACCGCCUGG